rnacentral:rRNA from 1 species
AUUGAACGCUGGCGGCAUGCCUUACACAUGCAAGUCGAACGGUAACAGGUCUUCGGAUGCUGACGAGUGGCGAACGGGUGAGUAAUACAUCGGAACGUGCCUAGUAGUGGGGGAUAACUACUCGAAAGAGUGGCUAAUACCGCAUGAGAUCUACGGAUGAAAGCAGGGGAUCGCAAGACCUUGUGCUACUAGAGCGGCCGAUGGCAGAUUAGGUAGUUGGUGGGAUAAAAGCUUACCAAGCCGACGAUCUGUAGCUGGUCUGAAAGGACGAUCAGCCACACUGGGACUGAGACACGUCCCAGACUCCUACGGGAGGCAGCAGUGGGGAAUUUUGGACAAUGGGCGCAAGCCUGAUCCAGCAAUGCCGCGUGCAGGAUGAAGGCCUUCGGGUUGUAAACUGCUUUUGUACGGAACGAAAAGCCCUGGGUUAAUACCCUGGGGUCAUGACGGUACCGUAAGAAUAAGCACCGGCUAACUACGUGCCAGCCGCCGCAGUAACAC